UCAAAAGCCCCCCGUCUGCCAAUAUUAAUGAACAAGAAAAGCAAGAAGAAGAGAAGCGUUAAAGCCCACACAUCCCCCGAAACCCCUAUUCCCCCAAUUCAAGGAUAGUACGUAGGGGUGCAGAAGGAGGUGAAAACAAGGCGUCAAAAAAAUUUACAUAGCUUAAAUCAGUCGUCACUAUAGAGAGAGCUCUACGUCUCUAUAACUAUCUGACAAAUAACCUUGUUUUGGAACAUCAAAAUCCAACAUGAAAGAUUUGGACAUAUGUGUGUAAGAGUGCUGCGUAUAUCGAGAAUGAAUGAUAGUGUAAUGAUGGUUUAAUUAUUUGACAUUCUUUCGUCUGUUCCCUUCUAACCCUCUUCCUGCUGCGCCUGCACCAUCCUAUACUCCUG
rnacentral:lncRNA from 1 species